AUCAGUAAGGUGGAUGAGGAGGGACUGGAGCUGGCAGUGUGCAGGCAUGAUGUCUUGCUGGCUGCCCUUAAUAUGUUUGUACAUGCUAAAGCGCAUGACUUCAAAUGUGAGGUGAAAUGGAGUAGCAAACCAAGAAGGUGCUGGUAAAACACUAGGGGAGGAAGUAGAGCAAUGUAAUGCUUCCCUCUCCAGGAUAGCAGUCACCACAAAGCAUAUGUCAAAAGCAGGACGCAAUGACAUGCUGACACUCCUUGCCAUAAGAUGGAACCAGCAGAAAUGUCCAAACCUGGCUACUGCACUUUCCCAGAGAUACCAUAAGACAUCUAAAGCUCUCAAUAUCCCGAUUGGGGACCUGGAAACCCUGAAAGCCCCGCAUCAACUGGGUGAACAAACUGUGGAAGAAUUUGUGCAAGAAGUAAAAGAAUGGGCCGAUGGAGAAAUUGACCAUCAAGGCACACCACAAGCUUUGUGUAAGAAGAUUGAGGCCUUAACAACCAGCAUCAACACGAGAGCUCAACUCCUAUAUUGGAAAAAUG